ACUGCUCGUUGUGCGUGUACUGCCACGUCCGUGUCUGGUUCGGCUCUUCUAGCGUCAGUCGACGGGAGAAUCAACAGUGAAAAACUUUCCAGUGAAAAACAACAACAACAGAAAACGUUAAAAAUACGGUCUUUCCCGAGUCUUUCAUGAAGCGGAGCAGGGCUGUGGUAACGGCCCACUGGGUAGGCCGAGGGGCGGGGCCAAGGAGAGUGGUCAUGGACAUUGUGUUGCAUCCAAGCUGCAUUAGACGGCGACGGAGCAGAAAUACACACCACACCACGUUCAUCGGAACAAGCAAAGCAACAAGCUAAAGAACCCCCAUGGAAGUAGCAAAGGGAACACCGAAGAAUCAACGAAAACAUUGAUCUCCGCGUUUUACUGGCACAUUAGGGCUUCUGCUUCACGUGGAAGAAGCAAAGGAACAAGCCCAAUAGAACAAGCUAGGGGAACACCAAAGGAACAAACUCCGCUUUUUUUCGGCACUUUAACGCUUGUGCUUCACCAGGAACAAACAAAGAAACAAGCAGAAAGGAUCAACAAUGGAACAAACAAAGGAAUACAAAAAGAACAUGCAAAAGACUGAACUCCGCGCUUUGCAUUUACUUGAACACUUCUGCUUCACCAGGAACGGUGGUGGUGGUUGUGGUGGUGAUAGGGCUUGCCGUUGUCGGCCUCACGUAUGUUGGCAACGUCACGACUCACGCCCUGGGACGAGCAAAGCAACAAGCAAGAGGAACGCCAAUGGAAGAAGCAAAGGAAACACCAAAGGAACAAGCAAAACACUGAACUCCGCGUUUUACCGGCACUUGUGCUUAACCGUGAACAAGCAAAAGGACCACUAAUGGAACACGCAAAGGGAACACAAAAGGAACAAGCAAAACAAAACACUGAACUCCGCAUUUUCUGUCUCUAUACCUGCACAUUCAUG